UGCUUGAACAUCACCUAGUUUCCAUAAUAAUCUUGUAGAUCUUCAUAUAUAAUGUUGGUAAAUAAAUAAAACCAAUUUAGAAAACAAUAUGGUAAACUGUUUACAUGGAUAAACAAUGUUAUGUGCUGAACAAACAUGUAUUAUAAUUCCAUAUAGUGUAUAAUUUAUAGUGCAAACACAGUAAUUCAUAAAAACUGUUUAUUUAAAAAAAAAAUGCUUUGUCUCAUACAGUUAAGAUUGAUGAUAGCAAAUGUUUCCAUUAGAAGAGUAAUUGAAGAGUAUUGUUAUUCCUAACUUCAGGUUUGCUGGGUUGUGGUUCUUAACAUGUAAUUGAGUCUUCAGGGAAACUUAUUUCUAUCAAUUUAGUUUCAAAUCAUAAAGCAGUUACAGGGAUGGUCAAAUUAAAGCAUGCUUUCAGAUGACGUCAUACAGCAUUGAAAGAUGAAGUUGAAGAAAUAUCUGUCUGCUAUAUAGUCAGGUCCAUAAUUAUUGGCACAAUUGAUAAAGAUUAGCAAAAAAGACUGUAUGAAAUAAAUAAUACAAAUACUGAGCUAUAAUGCAUGCAAAAAAAGUGAAAUUAUAUCAUUUUUAUACUAAUACAACAAAUAAUAAAAUACAUCUCAAAAAGAUAACGACACAAACUUUUUCAAAAAAUGAUUUUUUUUUUAACACAUUAAGAGGGAUCUUAGAUCAUCAUCUUUCCAGAUCCUUGAUAUCCUUCAUCUACCCUUAUGGACUGCCCCCUUCAUUUCACACCACAGGUUUUCAAUGGGGUUCAAGUCCAGAGACUGAACAUUUGGAUUUUGUGGCCAAUUAACCAUUCCUUUGUGAAUUUUGAUGUGUGCUUGGGGUUUUUGUCUUGCUGUCGGAGGCAACCAGAUUUUUGGCUGAAAUGUCCUGGUACUUGGUAAAGUUCAUGAUGCCAUUGACCUUAACAAGGGCCAACAGGACCAGUGGAAGCAAAAUAGCCCCAUAACAAAGAUGCACCACCAUAUUUGACUGUAUGUAAUGAGGUACUUUUCUGCAUAUGCUUCCGAUUUUCGACACCAAACCCACCACUGGUGUGCGUGGCCAAGGGUUCUAUUUUCAUGUCAUCUGACAUGGCCAAGAUCUUUGGCAUCGAAAAACGAAGCAUAUGCAGAAAAGUUCUUCAUACACCUACGGUCAAAUAUGGUGGUGGAUCUUUGAUGUUAUAGGACUAUUUUGCUUCCACUGGUCCUGGGGCCCUAGUUAAGGUUAAUGACGCCAUGAACUUUACAAAGUACCAAGACAUUUAUUGCCUAAAUAAACUAGUAAUUUCAUAAAUAAAACAAAUAUAUUGAAUAGCUCUUGAAAAUAUGGGCAACCUUUUUCCCCUCCGUAUCCACAAUGUGCGUAAAUGAGGCCCAUACAGAUGACUUGCCUGUAGUUUUUUCCUCCCUGGACUCUCUUUCAUUCAGUUUCUUCUUCGCAUCAGCAAAGAAUGACUCUGUGUUUCAGAAUCUCACUUUAUAUAGAUUAGGGGCUAUCACUCUUUCCCGCUGCAGAAUCCUCCUCUCCCGUAACAAGUAGCCUAUUUUACUCUGCGUCAUUUGCAGUGGCUAGUUUUCAUAAAGCGAAUACCAUUAUGCAGUUUUGUCACAAAAUUAUAAUUUAUUUUGACACAUUAUGUUCGAUGAAAGGGGAGCCCCUGACAAUCACUUAAGAUAAUAAAAUAUAGGCUACAUUACAGUAGACAAACGGAAAACAAAGACAAAAAUCUUUCUUCAAUAUAAUAAUUCAGAAGGUUAAACUCAUAAAACUGUCGUCAACAUGGUUUUAUUUUGUAGUCUUACUGUAGGCCCGCCAGGCUGGAGUAGAUGUGCUCAAAGAUGCCCUCUGAUGGUUCGCACAAGCAUUAAUGGCAACAGUGGCUGACAACAAAAUACUAUGACGUCACACACUGUAACGUGCAGUACCGUACCGUGGCAUACCGCAGUGUAUCGCCAUAUGACGCAACUACUAAGUGAGGACCCACUGUAAGGGCGAUCAUACAUUGUACACAUAGGGAUGUGAGCGAGGGCUAAAUCAUUAGUAAAGCUCAUCAAGAAAGAAACCUACGUUUUAAUUUCACUACCAACAAUGAUCUCUUUCGGUCCCCCUUCCUCAUCCCCAUUUUCUCUCUGUCUUCCCCUUCCCCCCUUUCCCCAUACAUCCUGAUGUGUGUAACAUUGAUGUCAGCAGCUGUUCCAUCCCGACUCCACCCUUGGCAGGCACAUUGGGUUGCUACUGUAGUCGCUCGUGC
ensembl:lncRNA